rnacentral:rRNA from 1 species
AAAGAAAAUAACAAUGAUUCCCCUAGUAACGGCGAGCGAAGAGGGAAUAGCUCAAAUUUUAAAUCUGUUGGGUUUUACCUAACCGAGUUGUAAUUUGAAGAAACGUUUUCUGCGUGUUUGAUUUAGCCCAAAUCCUUUGGGAUAAGGUAUCAUGGAGGGUGAGAAUCCCGUCCGGCCUAAUCAAAUGUGCUUUUACGAUACGUUUUCUAAGAGUCGAGUUGUUUGGGAUUGCAGCUCAAAAUGGGAGGUAAAUUUCUCCUAAGGCUAAAUAUUGGCGAGAGACCGAUAGCGAACAAGUACCGUGAGGGAAAGAUGAAAAGAACUUUGAAAAGAGAGUUAAACAGUACGUGAAAUUGUUGAAAGGGAAACGAUUAAAGUCAGUCGUACUAACGGGGAAUCAACCUUUUGAGGGUGGAAUUGUGGGAUUCAAAGUGCCUUUGUUUUUCGCAACCUGCUUUUUUUGGGUGUACUUUCUCGUAUUGUAGGUCAGCAUCGGUUUCGAUCGUUAUAAAAUGACUGGAGGAAUGUAGCUUCGAUCUCGUAUUGAAGUGUUAUAGCCUUUGGUAGAUGUAACGGUUGGGAUCGAGGAUUGCAAUGAAUACCCUUAUGGGCUAUCCGCCUGGCCUCUGACAUGUCACUCUGGUGCUGAAAGCGUGCUUAUGGUAUCAUAGUGUACGGUUAAAAGGUUAGAACGGAUUAAAUU